GCAGGGAAUCUUGCGCAAUGGGCGAAAGCCUGACGCAGCGACACCGCGUGGGGGAAGAAGGCCUGCGGGUUGUAAACCCCUUUUCUGGGGGAAGAAACAAGACGGUACCCCAGGAAUAAGCCUCGGCUAACUACGUGCCAGCAGCCGCGGUAAUACGUAGGAGGCGAGCGUUGUCCGAAUUUACUGGGCGUAAAGGGCGCGUAGGCGGCUGGGUCCGUCGGUGGUGCAAGCUCCAGGCUCAACUUGGAGAGGUCUACCGAUACCACCCGGCUUGAGGUCGGUAGAGGAGCAUGGAAUUCCUGGUGUAGUGGUGAAAUGCGUAGAUAUCAGGAGGAACACUCGUGGCGAAAGCGGUGCUCUGGGCCGUACCUGACGCUGAGGCGCGAAAGCGUGGGGAGCAAACCGG
rnacentral:rRNA from 1 species